AAAAAUGAGCGUCAAGCGUCAGCAUGUUUAAACAAUUCCAAUAAGCAAAGAAGUUACAACACAGUUUGUCGGGCAGUGCACAGGCGUGCGUUUGCUCUUUCUGAAACGCGCUGCGGCGGUAGAAGAGUUGGACCCUUAUAUAACAAGGGAAGCCUGAAUAAGUCGCCGCUUUGCUAAAAAUGAUCAAAUGGAGGUAAAUUUUGAGCAGAAAAGUUCCCUGUAUGGCUCAGGAAUUAACGAUGACGUAUAAACGGGUAAGGAGAAAUCAUUGUCACCAUGGAAUCAUGGGUAGCGUACACGGCUAACUACACGACAGUGAAGUGGGGGAUUUUCCAACAAAAUUACUCUAAAAACAUUUGUAUGAGAAUUACAAAAGGUGUACCUUCGUUAUGUAAAAAGUCUCAUUUUUAUAAUUUGUCUCUUGAUUCUAAAAAAAAUUCAUGAAGAAUGCCUUUUUUAAGGCUCCAAACGUAUAUGCCCUCUUAAAUCAUUU